ensembl:snoRNA
CCCCUUUUAAAAGCACUCAGUGGCCUUUUGCUAGCGACUCAUUUAGCCGUCAAGAAGGGCCAGAGUAAAAACACUGCCUUUGGGUGAAGUAGAAACUUGUGUUGUUUUACUUCCAACAGUGUCAUAACAAGA